rnacentral:rRNA from 1 species
CUCAUUAAAUCAGUUAUAGUUUAUUUGAUGGUCUCUUUGUUCUUCUUUUUACCUACUUGGAUAACCGUGGUAAUUCUAGAGCUAAUACAUGCGCAAGGUCCCGAGCGCGGAGGGUAGGGCUUCACGGUUCUAUUCUUGCAUGCGCAGAGGGAUGUAUUUAUUAGGUUAAACAACCAGCAUUUUAACAAUCAUCUGGUGAUUCAUAGUAACUCUUUCGGAUCGCAUUCAUG